UACGUAGGGGGGCUAGCGUUGUCCGGAUUUAUUGGGCGUAAAGAGCUCGUAGGCGGUUUGGUAAGUCGGAUGUGAAAUCUCCAGGCUCAACCUGGAGGGGUCAUUCGAUACUGCCAUGACUAGAGUUCGGUAGGGGUGUGUGGAAUUCCUAGUGUAGCGGUGAAAUGCGCAGAUAUUAGGAGGAACACCGGUGGCGAAGGCGCCACUCUGGGCCGAAACUGGAACGCUGAGGAGCGAAAGCAUGGGUAGCAAACAGGG
rnacentral:rRNA from 1 species